rnacentral:rRNA from 1 species
ACUCAAAGGAAUUGACGGGGGCCCGCACAAGCAGCGGAGCGUGUGGUUUAAUUCGAUGCAACGCGCAGAACCUUACCCGGGCUUGACAUGCCGCAAGUAGGACUCGGAAACGGGGACGACUCGUCGAGGCGAGAGGCGGCACAGAUGCUGCAUGGCUGUCGUCAGCUCGUGCCGUGAGGUGUUGGGUUAAGUCCCGCAACGAGCGCAACCCUCGUCGCCAGUUGCGUUUUCUGGCGAGACCGCCGGGUUCAACCCGGAGGAAGGUGGGGAUGACGUCAAGUCAGCACGGCUCUUACGUCCGGGGCUACACACACGCUACAAUGGGCGGGACAACGGGGAGCGAAGGGGCGACCCGGAGCGAAUCCCAGCAAAGCCGUCCUCAGUCGGGAUUGGAGGCUGCAACUCGCCUCCAUGAACGCGGAGUUGCUAGUAACCGCCGGUCAGCACACGGCGGUGAAUACGUUCCCGGGCCUUGUACACACCGCCCGU